ensembl:snoRNA SNORD114-17 small nucleolar RNA, C/D box 114-17
GGGACCAAUGAUAGCAAUGAUGACAAUUUGUGUUACAGACUAUGAAUAAUAUGUGUCUGAAACUCUGAGGUCCAA